GUGCUUUCAGCAGUACAUAUACAAAAAUUGGGACAAUACAGAGAAGUUUAGCAUGGUCCCUGCUCAAGGAUGACACACAAAUUCAUGAAGCGUUCCCUAUUUUU
ensembl:snRNA U6 U6 spliceosomal RNA